GGAGAAAUCCGCUGAUAGAUGGGCUUGCGUCUGAUUAGUUAGUUGGUGGGGUAACGGCCUACCAAGACGACGAUCAGUAGCCGGACUGAGAGGUUGGACGGCCACAUUGGGACUGAGAUACGGCCCAAACUCCUACGGGAGGCAGCAGUCGGGAAUAUUGCGCAAUGGAGGAAACUCUGACGCAGUGACGCCGCGUGCAGGAAGAAGGUUUUCGGAUUGUAAACUGCUUUUGACAGGGAAGAGAAAGGACAGUACCUGUAAAAAGCUCCGGCUAACUAC
rnacentral:rRNA from 1 species